AUUGAACGCUGGCGGCAUGCUUUACACAUGCAAGUCGAACGGUAACAGGGUGCUUGCACCGCUGACGAGUGGCGAACGGGUGAGUAAUGCGUCGGAACGUGCCGAGUAGUGGGGGAUAACGCAGCGAAAGUUGUGCUAAUACCGCAUACGUACUGAGGUAGAAAGUGGGGACCUUCGGGCCUCACGCUAUUCGAGCGGCCGACGUCUGAUUAGCUAGUAGGUGAGGUAAAGGCUCACCUAGGCGACGAUCAGUAGCGAGUCUGAGAGGAUGAUCCGCCACACUGGGACUGAGACACGGCCCAGACUCCUACGGGAGGCAGCAGUGGGGAAUUUUGGACAAUGGGCGAAAGCCUGAUCCAGCCAUGCCGCGUGUCUGAAGAAGGCCUUCGGGUUGUAAAGGACUUUUGUCAGGGAGGAAAUCCCUAGUGCUAAUAACACUGGGGGAUGACAGUACCUGAAGAAUAAGCACCGGCUAACUACGUGCCAGCCGCCGCCGUAA
rnacentral:rRNA from 1 species